rnacentral:rRNA from 1 species
AACGGGAUUAGAUACCCUGGUAGUCCACGCUGUAAACGAUGUCGAUUUGGAGGUUGUGCCCUUGAGGCGUGGCUUCCGGAGCUAACGCGUUAAAUCGACCGCCUGGGGAGUACGGCCGCAAGGUUAAAACUCAAAUGAAUUGACGGGGGCCCGCACAAGCGGUGGAGCAUGUGGUUUAAUUCGAUGCAACGCGAAGAACCUUACCUACUCUUGACAUCCAGAGAACUUUCCAGAGAUGGAUUGGUGCCUUCGGGAACUCUGAGACAGGUGCUGCAUGGCUGUCGUCAGCUCGUGUUGUGAAAUGUUGGGUUAAGUCCCGCAACGAGCGCAACCCUUAUCCUUUGUUGCCAGCGGUUCGGCCGGGAACUCAAAGGAGACUGCCAGUGAUAAACUGGAGGAAGGUGGGGAUGACGUCAAGUCAUCAUGGCCCUUACGAGUAGGGCUACACACGUGCUACAAUGGCAUAUACAAAGAGAAGCGACCUCGCGAGAGCAAGCGGACCUCAUAAAGUAUGUCGUAGUCCGGAUUGGAGUCUGCAACUCGACUCCAUGAAGUCGGAAUCGCUAGUAAUCGUAGAUCAGAAUGCUACGGUGAAUACGUUCCCGGGCCUUGUACACACCGCCCGUCACACCAUGGGAGUGGGUUGCA